rnacentral:lncRNA from 1 species
GAAGCAGUGGAACUGGAUCUGUAUAUAUUCAUGGAUCAACAUACUCCUGUGCAGUGUGUGCAUAUAUAGGUUCACAUGCGGAUGCGAUUUGUUAGCUAAAUAGAUGCACAAAACAUAUGUAAUCUCGUUCGGUUGGAGUCUGUAAUGAGUCGAGUAAGGGAUGGGCGUGAUUAUUGACGUGCAUGGUCACGACCCAGCCUGGUAUCAGUCGGUCACCGCGCCAUGGCGUGUCGAGCGCACGUAGCGCGCACCGCAACGAAACGGUGUGGCGUUCUUUGCGCGGCAUGGCGCAGGAGGUUGUUGCGA